rnacentral:misc_RNA from 1 species
AUAUUUCAUUACAGAAAUGUUUAAUGAGGCAAUAAAUAUAAAAACAUAGAUAUAUGAUAAUAUAAAAUGGAUAUGUGUAUUAUAUCAAUAUUGUUUUCCUUAUAUAUAAUUCAAUUUUCCUUAUAUACAAUUAAUUAAUGUCAAAUUUAUACUUUUGUACAAAUAAUGAAAAAUACAGAUCUUUCCUGGGUAACCAAUAGUUAAGCGAAGCAACCAAAGUAACAAUGGAAUGAACACACAAUUACUUUCGUUUCACCCGAUGAUAUUUCAGACGUUAAAGCGGUAGGUUCCUCUCGUAGUCUGUUGCUUUGCAAGCCGUUGGAAAUAAUUUGAAUCAUCUUACCGGCUACGAUCUACGUAGGCAGUUUUACGACGCACGAGACCUUGUUGCUGUUUCGUGGCAAUUCCAGGCUUCUCUCCUUCGUGAUACUUCGGACCCUUGUAGAGAAUACACGAUAAAAUGUUCGAGGAGUAAUUCAUCAACUGUUUCAUUAACGACGCCUAAUACAAACCAAAGCGAUGAAAAGGACGCAAUGGAAGGGGCGUUGUCGACGAAAAG